CAUCCAUCCUCGCAGCAGCGGGAUGGCCUGAUGCAACCUGAGCGAGUCAGAUCGGCCGUCGCCCAACCCGCCUCUUCAAACCCCGCCGCGCUUCGCCGGUGCGUCGCGCUGCUGCAGACAUGCAAGUCCCUGCCUUGGCUCAAGCAGAUCCACGCUCACGCCGUCCGCCGUGGCGUCCCCCUCGGCCACCCCGGCCUGGCCAAGCACCUCGUCUUCGCCCUCGUUUCCCUCCCCGCCGCCGACCCCAUGCCCUACGCCAGCGCCGUCUUCGCCCUGGUCCCCAACCCCGGGGUCUUCAGUUACAACACCAUGAUCCGCGGCUACGCCGAGAGCUGUCACCCCCGCCACGCCCUCGACGUCCACCGCCUCAUGCUCGCCGCCGACGUCCCCCCGGACUCCCACACCUACCCCUUCCUCCUCAAGGCCUGCGCCAAACUGCUGUCUCUCUGCGACGGCGAGAGGGUCCACUGCCGCUCCGUCAAGGACGGCCAUGACGCCUGCGUCUUCGUCCAGAACACACUUGUUCAUUUCUACGCGGCCUGCGGACUCUUCGAGAGCGCACACAAGUUGUUCGAGAGGAUGUCCCAAAAAAACCUCAUUUCCUGGAACUCUGUCAUUAAUGGCUUCGCCAUAAACGGGAGGCCUAAUGAGGCGCUGACCCUCUUCAGGGAGAUGGUCGCGGACGAGGAUGGCGGCAUCGAGCCUGAUGGUUUCACCAUGGUCAGCUUGCUCUGCGCCUGUGCCGAGCUGGGGGCCUUGUCUCUCGGCCGCAGAUCCCAUGUUUACCUUGCUAAGCGAGGCCUGGAAAGGAACGCCCACGUUGGGAAUGCGCUCAUAGAUUUCUAUGCCAAAUGUGGAAGCAUCGAGGAGGCUUACAAGGUAUUCGACGAGAUGGAUGAGAGGACUGUGGUAUCAUGGACUUGUUUGAUAGUAGGGCUGGCCAUGAACGGGUUUGGCGAAGAAUCUCUCGACCUCUUCCAUGCAAUGGAGAGGGAAAGAUUGGUGCCGACUGAGAUCACCUUGGUUGGGGUGUUGUACGCUUGUAGCCAUUGCGGGUUGGUUGACGAUGGAUUCAGGUACUUCAACAGGUUGACACGAGACUAUGGCAUCGUGCCCAAGAUAGAGCACUAUGGUUGCAUGGUUGAUCUCCUGGGACGAGCUGGCUUGGUGGAAGAGGCACACAGUUACAUCAUGAACAUGCCACUGGAGCCCAAUGCUGUCAUCUGGAGGACCUUGCUUGGAGCAUGCACCAUGCACAAGAGGCUGGAAAUUGGGGAAGCAGUUUGGGCUAGGCUCGUGGAAUUGGACCCUGGCCAUAGCGGCGACUACGUGCUCCUAUCCAAUAUGUAUGCUGCUGUCGGUCAGUGGGGGAUUGUUCACAAGCUCCGGAGAAGCAUGCUGAAGGGAGGGGUGAGAAAGAUGCCUGGCCACAGCCUCGUCGAACUGGGCAACCACAUGCAUGAGUUCAUCAUGGGUGAUCGCUCACAUCCUCAGAGCCAGCAAAUAUAUGAGAUGCUCGAAGAGAUUGCAGCGAGGCUGAGGCUGGAAGGCUACAUGCCUCACACAACGAAUGUUUUGGCUGAUAUAGAGGAGGAAGAGAAGGAGACGGCACUGAACUACCACAGCGAGAGGUUGGCCAUAGCCUUUGCUCUCCUUAACACUGCCCCAGGGACCCCCAUCAGGAUAGUGAAGAACCUGAGGGUAUGUGCAGAUUGCCACAUUGUGACCAAACUGAUAUCCAAGAUUUAUGACCGGGAGAUUGUGGUGAGAGAUCGGAGUCGAUUCCACCAUGUAAGAGGUGGAUCCUGUUCUUGUAAGGAUUAUUGGUAGGCUACAGUAAUGUUCUCCCAGCAAGAUUAUACUGCAUUCGGAAUCAAGAAGUGCAAGUGGAGUGUUGGAGAGAUGGAGCUUGAGUGGAUCCUUCCGAUGCUGCUCGGACUUGGUAAAUGACAGCAGAUGCUUGUCUGGAAGCUGAAUGAGCAAGCACAUUGGCUAGAUUGUAUCUGGAUUCCUUUGUCCAAUUCAGAUGAGAGAAUUCUUGUUGGAAGAUCCAAAUUGACUGUCAUGCUGAAGUCCAAGAGUAGAUGCUGCAUCACCAAUUACAGUCAAGGUAGUUAAGAAGCCAGUUGGCCAGUUGUAUAUGUGAUAAAAAAAAAGGGUAUACCUAGUGCAGGUCGCCAAUCCAGUAUCUUUAGAGGUUUAAUAUAUGCAGCCUUGCUUCUGGAAAUAAUUUGUCAUGCUGAUUCUUGAUUACUUCUGGAAAUGGUCCCGGUACAACAAAAAGAUAAAUGCUGGGAGACUUAGCAGGAUCUGAGUGGUUAAGCUUUGUUCCUCCUCAAUUAUUAUGAUGUGUGAUAAUUUUAAACAUCAACCACUUCACUGUUGGAGUAACAGGUGCAGUGUUCCUUUCACUCCAUGAAGGCAUUGUUUGUUGAUCCUGUUCCUCUCUCUAGCUUUAAAGUUGAGACUUGGGCAGGUUGAAAUGGUCCAAACACCAGAACAAGACUGUGUUCCCUUAGCUUUUCCAAUUGUAGAUUCAUCUCUUUCUUUAUCGAUCUGUAGUGUUUUUUUUUUAUACAUACAAUAACAAAAAGAAUAGCAUUAAAUUUUGUGUGCGAUUUGGCAUGCAGUGGAUGAUAUGAUAAUACAUCAGCAGGGGAUAUUUUCCACCA